rnacentral:rRNA from 1 species
UGGAGGCAGCAGUAAGGAAUUUUGGACAAUGGGCGCAAGCCUGAUCCAGCCAUGCCGCGUGAGUGAAGAAGGCCUUCGGGUUGUAAAGCUCUUUCGGACGGAAAGAAAUCCUAUCCGCUAAUACCGGGUGGGGAUGACGGUACCGUAAGAAGAAGCACCGGCUAACUACGUGCCAGCAGCCGCGGUAAUACGUAGGGUGCGAGCGUUAAUCGGAAUUACUGGGCGUAAAGCGUGCGCAGGCGGUUUUGUAAGACAGGUGUGAAAUCCUCGGGCUUAUCCUGGGAACUGCACUUGUGACUGCAAGGCUAGAGUGCGGCAGAGGGGGGUAGAAUUCCACGUGUAGCAGUGAAAUGCGUAGAGAUGUGGAGGAAUACCGAUGGCGAAGGCAGCCCCCUGGGUCGACACUGACGCUCAUGCACGAAAGCGUGGGGAGCAAACAGGAUUAGAUACCCGAGUAGUCG